GACGAACGCUGGCGGCGUGCUUAACACAUGCAAGUCGAACGGAAAGGCCCUGCUUUUGUGGGGUGCUCGAGUGGCGAACGGGUGAGUAACACGUGAGUAACCUGCCCUUGACUUUGGGAUAACUUCAGGAAACUGGGGCUAAUACCGGAUAGGAGCUCCUGCUGCAUGGUGGGGGUUGGAAGGUUUCGGCGGUUGGGGAUGGACUCGCGGCUUAUCAGCUUGUUGGUGGGGUAGUGGCUUACCAAGGCUUUGACGGGUAGCCGGCCUGAGAGGGUGACCGGCCACCUUGGGACUGAGAUACGGCCCAGACUCCUACGGGAGGCAGCAGUGGGGAAUAUUGCACAAUGGGCGGAAGCCUGAUGCAGCAACGCCGCGUGCGGGAUGACGGCCUUCGGGUUGUAAACCGCUUUCGCCUGUGACGAAGCGUGAGUGACGGUAAUGGGUAAAGAAGCACCGGCUAACUACGUG
rnacentral:rRNA from 1 species